rnacentral:rRNA from 1 species
AUUGAACGCUGGCGGCAGGCUUAACACAUGCAAGUCGAGCGGGGUGAUGGUGCUUGCACUAUCACUUAGCGGCGGACGGGUGAGUAAUGCUUAGGAAUCUGCCUAUUAGUGGGGGACAACAUCUCGAAAGGGAUGCUAAUACCGCAUACGUCCUACGGGAGAAAGCAGGGGAUCACUUGUGACCUUGCGCUAAUAGAUGAGCCUAAGUCGGAUUAGCUAGUUGGUGGGGUAAAGGCCUACCAAGGCGACGAUCUGUAGCGGGUCUGAGAGGAUGAUACGCCACACUGGGACUGAGACACGGCCCAGACUCCUACGGGAGGAAGCAGUGGGGAAUAUUGGACAAUGGGGGGGACCCUGAUCCAGCCAUGCCGCGUGUGUGAAGAAGGCCUUAUGGUUGUAAAGCACUUUAAGCGAGGAGGAGGCUCUUUUGGUUAAUACCCAAGAUGAGUGGACGUUACUCGCAGAAUAAGCACCGGCUAACUCUGUGCCAGCAGCCGCGGUAA